rnacentral:rRNA from 1 species
AGAUUAAGUUAUUAAGGGCGCACGGUGGAUGCCUUGGCACUAGAAGCCGAUGAAGGACGUUACUAACGACGAUAUGCUUUGGGGAGCUGUAAGUAAGCUUUGAUCCAGAGAUUUCCGAAUGGGGAAACCCAGCAUGAGUUAUGUCAUGUUAUCGAUAUGUGAAUACAUAGCAUAUCAGAAGGCACACCCGGAGAACUGAAACAUCUUAGUACCCGGAGGAAGAGAAAGAAAAUUCGAUUCCCUUAGUAGCGGCGAGCGAAACGGGAAGAGCCCAAACCAACAAGCUUGCUUGUUGGGGUUGUAGGACACUCUAUACGGAGUUACAAAGGACGACAUUAGACGAAUCAUCUGGAAAGAUGAAUCAAAGAAGGUAAUAAUCCUGUAGUCGAAAAUGUUGUCUCUCUUGAGUGGAUCCUGAGUACGACGGAGCACGUGAAAUUCCGUUGGAAUCUGGGAGGACCAUCUCCUAAGGCUAAAUACUCUCUAGUGACCGAUAGUGAACCAGUACCGUGAGGGAAAGGUGAAAAGCACCCCGGAAGGGGAGUGAAAUAGAACCUGAAACCGUGUGCUUACAAGUAGUCAGAGCCCGUUAAUGGGUGAUGGCGUGCCUUUUGUAGAAUGAACCGGCGAGUUACGAUUUGAUGCAAGGUUAAGCAGUAAAUGUGGAGCCGUAGCGAAAGCGAGUCUGAAUAGGGCGUUUAGUAUUUGGUCGUAGACCCGAAACCAGGUGAUCUACCCUUGGUCAGGUUGAAGUUCAGGUAACACUGAAUGGAGGACCGAACCGACUUACGUUGAAAAGUGAGCGGAUGAACUGAGGGUAGCGGAGAAAUUCCAAUCGAACCUGGAGAUAGCUGGUUCUCUCCGAAAUAGCUUUAGGGCUAGCCUCAAGUGAUGAUUAUUGGAGGUAGAGCACUGUUUGGACGAGGGGCCCCUCUCGGGUUACCGAAUUCAGACAAACUCCGAAUGCCAAUUAAUUUAACUUGGGAGUCAGAACAUGGGUGAUAAGGUCCGUGUUCGAAAGGGAAACAGCCCAGACCACCAGCUAAGGUCCCAAAAUAUAUGUUAAGUGGAAAAGGAUGUGGCGUUGCCCAGACAACUAGGAUGUUGGCUUAGAAGCAGCCAUCAUUUAAAGAGUGCGUAAUAGCUCACUAGUCGAGUGACACUGCGCCGAAAAUGUACCGGGGCUAAACAUAUUACCGAAGCUGUGGAUUGUCCUUUGGACAAUGGUAGGAGAGCGUUCUAAGGGCGUUGAAGCAUGAUCGUAAGGACAUGUGGAGCGCUUAGAAGUGAGAAUGCCGGUGUGAGUAGCGAAAGACGGGUGAGAAUCCCGUCCACCGAUUGACUAAGGUUUCCAGAGGAAGGCUCGUCCGCUCUGGGUUAGUCGGGUCCUAAGCUGAGGCCGACAGGCGUAGGCGAUGGAUAACAGGUUGAUAUUCCUGUACCACCUAUAAUCGUUUUAAUCGAUGGGGGGACGCAGUAGGAUAGGCGAAGCGUGCGAUUGGAUUGCACGUCUAAGCAGUAAGGCUGAGUAUUAGGGAAAUCCGGUACUCAUUAAGGCUGAGCUGUGAUGGGGAGAAGACAUUGUGUCUUCGAGUCGUUGAUUUCACACUGCCGAGAAAAGCCUCUAGAUAGAAAAUAGGUGCCCGUACCGCAAACCGACACAGGUAGUCAAGAUGAGAAUUCUAAGGUGAGCGAGCGAACUCUCGUUAAGGAACUCGGCAAAAUGACCCCGUAACUUCGGGAGAAGGGGUGCUCUUUAGGGUUAACGCCCAGAAGAGCCGCAGUGAAUAGGCCCAAGCGACUGUUUAUCAAAAACACAGGUCUCUGCUAAACCGUAAGGUGAUGUAUAGGGGCUGACGCCUGCCCGGUGCUGGAAGGUUAAGAGGAGUGGUUAGCUUCUGCGAAGCUACGAAUCGAAGCCCCAGUAAACGGCGGCCGUAACUAUAACGGUCCUAAGGUAGCGAAAUUCCUUGUCGGGUAAGUUCCGACCCGCACGAAAGGCGUAACGAUUUGGGCACUGUCUCAACGAGAGACUCGGUGAAAUCAUAGUACCUGUGAAGAUGCAGGUUACCCGCGACAGGACGGAAAGACCCCGUGGAGCUUUACUGUAGCCUGAUAUUGAAAUUCGGCACAGCUUGUACAGGAUAGGUAGGAGCCUUUGAAACGUGAGCGCUAGCUUACGUGGAGGCGCUGGUGGGAUACUACCCUAGCUGUGUUGGCUUUCUAACCCGCACCACUUAUCGUGGUGGGAGACAGUGUCAGGCGGGCAGUUUGACUGGGGCGGUCGCCUCCUAAAAGGUAACGGAGGCGCUCAAAGGUUCCCUCAGAAUGGUUGGAAAUCAUUCAUAGAGUGUAAAGGCAUAAGGGAGCUUGACUGCGAGACCUACAAGUCGAGCAGGGUCGAAAGACGGACUUAGUGAUCCGGUGGUUCCGCAUGGAAGGGCCAUCGCUCAACGGAUAAAAGCUACCCCGGGGAUAACAGGCUUAUCUCCCCCAAGAGUUCACAUCGACGGGGAGGUUUGGCACCUCGAUGUCGGCUCAUCGCAUCCUGGGGCUGUAGUCGGUCCCAAGGGUUGGGCUGUUCGCCCAUUAAAGCGGUACGCGAGCUGGGUUCAGAACGUCGUGAGACAGUUCGGUCCCUAUCCGUCGUGGGCGUAGGAAAUUUGAGAGGAGCUGUCCUUAGUACGAGAGGACCGGGAUGGACAUACCUCUGGUGUACCAGUUGUCGUGCCAACGGCAUAGCUGGGUAGCUAUGUGUGGACGGGAUAAGUGCUGAAAGCAUCUAAGCAUGAAGCCCCCCUCAAGAUGAGAUUUCCCAACUUCGGUUAUAAGAUCCCUCAAAGAUGAUGAGGUUAAUAGGUUCGAGGUGGAAGCAUGGUGACAUGUGGAGCUGACGAAUACUAAUCGAUCGAAGACUUAAUCAAAUU